rnacentral:rRNA from 1 species
AUUGAACGCUGGCGGCAUGCCUAACACAUGCAAGUCGAACGGCAGCACGGCAGUAGCAAUACUGUGGGUGGCGAGUGGCGGACGGGUGAGGAAUACGUCGGAAUCUGCCCAGUCGUGGGGGAUAACUAGCCGAAAGGUUAGCUAAUACCGCAUACGACCGAGAGGUGAAAGCGGGGGACCGCAAGGCCUCGCGCGAUUGGAUGAGCCGACGUCGGAUUAGCUAGUUGGAGGGGUAAAGGCCCACCAAGGCGACGAUCCGUAGCUGGUCUGAGAGGAUGAUCAGCCACACUGGAACUGAGACACGGUCCAGACUCCUACGGGAGGCAGCAGUGGGGAAUAUUGAACAAUGGGCGCAAGCCUGAUCCAGCAAUGCCGCGUGUGUGAAGAAGGCCUCGGUUGUAAG